rnacentral:misc_RNA from 1 species
AAGUCGUAACAAGGUCUCCGUAGGUGAACCUGCGGAGGGAUCAUUAAUGAGCAAGGGCCGAAAGGCCCGACCUCCAACCCUUCUGUGAACGAAACCUCGUUGCCUCGGGGGCGACCCUGGCCGCCCGCGGCCGUGGGGCCCCCGACGGUCCACUCAACUCUGCAUCAAUGCGUCUGAGCGAAUUUUAAUCAAAAUUAAAACUUUCAACAACGGAUCUCUUGGUUCUG